CGUGCGCACCAACCGUCCUAACGGCCCCAACGGACGUUAGCGGAUAAUAAACAGCGAGUCCGCGCUGACGAGCAAUUUCCCCGUCCGUCCCUCCCACAUUAACACACACGCUUGGGACAAUUUUACCAAAGCCCAAUUAACCUACAAACCUAUAGGUCUUUGGAAUGUGGGAGGAUGCCGAAGAUCUGGGAGAAACCCCACGCAGGUCGCGAGGAGAACGUACAAACUCCGUACAGACAGCGCCCGUAGUCGGGAUCGAACCCGGGUCUCUGGCGCUGUGAGGCAGCAGCUCUACCGCUGCGCCACCUCCCUGCCGUCCUGUUAACGGUCGGACAUUAACGGAGGCCUCGUCCCUGCCGUCCUCGUCCUUCACGAACCGAGUAAGUCAGUGUAACCGAUGGUCGCUCGGUCAAAGCGCAGCUGCGGCAGGACAGCGCUCCCUCCCUCCCUCAGCCCCAAAGACUACGACUGCCACCGAGAUGGAUGAGGUGUGGGUCUGGAGCGGCCUCUGGGACAGCGCUAGACCACGACAAAUGGCUUUCGUUCUGAAUCCCGUCCUUCAGAAGGGUCUGCUUCCCUUCCUCGGGUGUGUUCAGGGAUUGUGGUGAUGUUAAACGUCUCCAAGUGCUGCAGCCAACACCACCUGAAGUUCAGGAGGGCAAAAUGAGCAAAUGGAGAAGGGAAAUGGUGUUUCUAUGUCAUGAAGACCUACACGUUUGCGUAAAAGAACCCAAAGGGCAGAAAUGGGUGAUUCUUCAGUUGGCCAUUGCAUUCAGUCAUACCCGUUGCAUUUUUAUGAUGAACAAUGCUGUAAAAUAUAACUGAUUUAAGAAUAUAAAAUCACAUUUUUGUCCCAGUCUUUCAAAUUAUAAUCUUCCUCAAAUAAACCACCCAAAAAGUACUUUUUCAGUCUAAGGCAUUGUAACAAUUUACUGCCGAAAAAAGUGGUGAUUUUCAGCAAGAGUGGUAACUGUCACAUAACUUUUCACCAACUUCCUCUAAAACAAUAUUAAUCAGAUGAAUAGGCAAAAUCAUACUAUUCAUUUAUCAAUUAGCAUUGAUAAUUAUCGUCAUUGUUGUAUUAUUUUACACAUUAUGAGCAUAAAAUACUCAUGUGACGGACAUGACUCAGCGUGAUGGAGAUGAUCAAGUUCGGGACUGCCGCAAGACGGAGAUGACUAAGACCAUUUUAAGGCUCCAACAGUUUAUUAAAGGUUGAGAACAGGAAGCAACGUAUGAACAGGGAUCAGUGUUUCCUUCACUGGAGAUGGAGCUGUAGCUGGAGCUGUAAAACAAAUAAACAAAAAAAAGAUAAGAUGGAGAUGGAGCUGGAGCUGAAGCUAUAAAACAAUUAAACAAAAAAAGGAUAAGUUGGAGGAGGUAGAGCAGGAGAUGGAGCUGAAGAUGGAGCUAGAUCUGGAGCUGGAGUUGGAGAUGGAGCUGAAGAUGGAGCUGGAGCUGGAGUUGGAGAUGGAGCUGGAGAUGGAGCUGAAGAUGGAGCUAGAGCUGGAGCUGGAGUUGGAGAUGGAGCUGGAGAUGGAGCAAUAAAACAAAUAACCAAAAAAGGAUAUACCUGGUCUGGGAGAUCGGGGGUUAAGUGACGGAGAUGAGCGUUAUGGAUAUGAUGGCCCAAACCUGUAGCCCAGCAUGGCCUUGCCAGAAGGCGAUGCCUGGCGAUAUUGUUUGGAUGUAUAGUGAGACUCCUGGGAUCAAGGAAUGUGACUAUUGAUUGGAGACAUGAUCACAUAAUCCAGACUGACACGAGUGCAAUAUCAUUAGAUGAUAUAUGAAUGAAGCAUUGAACAAAAGCCCCAGCUGACUUUCCAGAUAAUAUAAAUUGCAUGGCAUCAUUCUUAACAGUAGCAGGAGAGUUUAAUUUAGGUUUAACAAGGCCAAUAUAUGUAUCUCAUCCUAACAUCACAGGCACAUGUUAUCUGGCCAACCUUGUGGGAGUUUGCUGUGUGCAGUUUUUGUGCUGAUUUCAGAGAAGUGGAAGUGAAAUAAAAGAAACAUUUGAUUGAGUGCCAUCAAGGGGCCCUGGAAUACUGAGUAAAUGAUUGGAAUUAUACCUGGCACAAAGAAAGAUAGAUGUGGUUGCCAGACCAGUGUCCCACCCCAGUGACAGGACAAACUACAGGAGUUCUUCAGGGUGUUCAGUGAUGAUUAGACAAUAUUCAAUAUUUUUUGUAACUUACAGGCAAAUGAUGCAGUGCAAGCAUGCAGGCAGCAGGACCCAGACAACAUUCAGGCAUUGGCUGGAAAAUGGCAUGUAAUAUUCACACUGCGAAUAUGCCAGGCAAUGACCAUUUCCAACAAAAGAGACAACCAUCUAAUGGUGAUAUCUGCAAGAUCAGAUCAGCCACAAUCUUAUUGAAAGACAUAGCAGGCUCAAGGGGCAAAUACUUCUAACUUGUGUAAUUGAACAUGUUCUGUGGCAUUACCAUCACAAAGUCCUGAACUUUCAGUAUUCUGGAAUUCAACGCUCACCAGAAACUCAACUGAACCAGCCACAUAAAUAUUGCAGCAAUAAGAGUAGAUCAGAGAAUGAGUAUCAUGUAUUGAAUUGAAUUCCUUUAUUGUCAUUCAGACCUUAAGGUCUGAAUGAAAUUUCGUGCCAAGGAAUAAGUGACAAAACGAAAAAAAACAACACAAAAAAGUAAAGACAAACGGACUGCAGGCGAGCCGCAGCCGUUCACCAGCGCCGCCACUUCCGGAGAUGGGAGAUGGCUCGCUUCCUGAUACCCGAAUGUAUUUCUACCAUUGGAAGGCACUGGUCAGGGAUUUGAUGAAAUACUGUCUGCUUGCUUGGUUGAUUGCAUCUCUAAAAGCUCUAAAAAAAAAGUAGCAAUCCACGACCAACAUCUCUUGACUGUCAUCUCAUUGGCCACCUUAAUCACUUAUUCAUUGCAACAUAAAUUCACAGUGCCUGCAGUAUGUGCCACCUACUGAAUGAACAGAAGUUAAACUAUUCUGAUUUGCAAACAGUCCUUCAAGAUCUCUGGCUUUAAAUCGUUGAGGACAUCUUCCCCAGGAAUAUUUUGAGAGCACAUUUACCAGCAAGAAUAUAACAGUUCAACAAAGUGGCACCCAAUCACCUGUGGAAGGGCAUUUAGGGAUGGUCAGUAAAUGUUGACCCUGCCAGUGACAGCCGGGUCCCAAAUGUGAAUGGGAUUCUACCAAUCACUUCCGAUGGAAAGGUGCAUGGCAUCACCAUUCCAUUACAGUCAUCUCACAAAAAAUUAUAUGGACCAGGCUUACUUUAAUUCCCCAAAACAUAGGAACUGCAAAGCUUCUCAAAAUUCAAUAAAACUUUUCCAACUCAGAAUAUCCCAAAGUAUUUCAUGGCAAAUUAAGCUGUCAUAUAUGUGCACAAUAAGAUCCCACAGACACCAACAAGGGAAAUAACAGUGCUUGAGUGACAAAGGUUGGCCAGGGCAGCAGCAGAACAGUUGCUCAUCAAGUAAUAGAUGUUAAAUCCUGUUGCGAAGAAGGACCAGAGAUCUGCAUGUAACCUCAUCAAUAGGAAACAUCCAGAGUAAUGCAAUACCCACUCACUUGCCCAUUUGAGCAGUAGCUUACUCUCAAUGUUAAAGCCUCUGGAUUGGGACCUGAAUUCACAAUUUCAUUUUCCGAGGCAGGCAUGCUGCCCCUUGGAUCCAAGCCUGACAUCAAUUCCAUUGGCCAUAUGUUCUGACUAAAUAAAAUAGUGCAAUCCAUAACACCAAGAUCAACAACAGAUUAUUAAGUUGUAUUAUUAAGGACAUAGGAAAC